rnacentral:rRNA from 1 species
UUAGGUGGCUAUAGCGUAGGGGUUCCACCUCUUCCCAUUCCGAACAGAGAAGUUAAGCCCUACUGCGCCAAUGGUACUGAUCACAAUUCGGGAGAGUAGGUCGCUGCCUUUU